AUGUGCGGCAAUAACAUGUCAACCCCGCUGCCCACCAUCGUGCCCGCCCCCCGGAAGGCCACCACUGAGGUGAUUUUCCUGCAUGGAUUGGGAGAUACUGGGCACGGAUGGGCAGAAGCCUUUGCCGGUAUCAUAAGUUCACAUAUCAAAUAUAUCUGCCCGCAUGCGCCUGUUAGGCCUGUUAACAUUAAAUAUGAACAUAGCUAUGCCUUCAUGGUUUGAUAUUAUUGGGCUUUCACCAGAUUCACAGGAGGAUGAAUCUGGGAUUAAACAGGCAGCACAAAAUAUAAAAGCUUUGAUUGAUCAAGAAGUGAAGAAUGGCAUUCCUUCUAACAGAAUUAUUUUGGGAGGGUUUUCUCAGGGAGGAGCUUUAUCUUUAUAUACUGCCCUUACCACGCACCAGAAACUGGCAGGUGUCACUGCACUCAAUUGCUGGCUUCCACUUUGGGCUUCCUUUCCACAGGGUCCUAUCGGUGGUGCUAAUAGAGAUAUUUCUAUUCUCCAGUGCCACGGGGAUUGUGACCCUUUGGUUCCCCUGAUGUUUGGUUCUCUUACGGUUGAAAAACUAAAAAACAUUGGUGAAUCCAGCCAAUGUGACCUUUAAAACCUAUGAAGGUAUGAUGCACAGUUCGUGUCAACAGGAAAUGAUGAAUGUCAAGCAAUUCAUUGAUAAACUCCUACCUCCAAUUGAUUGA
rnacentral:lncRNA from 1 species